UGUGUGUGUGUGUGUCUGUGUGUGUGUGUGUGUGUGUGUGUAAAUGUAAAUGGACUGUAUUUAUAUAGCGCUUUUCUAGUCUUAACGACCACUCAAAGCACUUUUACUAUAGUUUACAGGAACCAUUCACCAUUCACACACAUUCAUACACUGUGGCCGAGGCUGCCGUCCAAGGUGCCACCUG